rnacentral:rRNA from 1 species
CCUACGGGUGGCAGCAGUGGGGAAUAUUGGGCAAUGGAGGAAACUCUGACCCAGCAACGCCGCGUGAAUGAUGAAGGUCUUCGGAUUUGAAAGUCCUUUUCUAAGGGAAGCAGAAAGUGACGGUACCUUACGAAUAAGCCUCGGCGAACUACGGGCCAGCAGCCGCUGUAAUACGUAGGAGGCGGGCGUUCACCGGAAUGAAUGGGUGUAAAGGGUGCGUAGGUGGUUUGGCCAGUUAGGCGCGUAAAACGCAGGCUCAAACUUGGGACAACUACUAAAACUGGUGGUCUUGAGUGCAGGAGAGGCAACCGGAAUGCCUAGUGUAGCGGUGGAAUGCGUAGAUAUUAGGAGGAACACCAGUGGCGAAGGCAGGUUGCUAG